CAGGAACAGGAGGAGCAGGAAGAGGAGCGGCACGAGGCCGGCGGUGGAAGGCAGGAGAGAAGGAAGGAGGGAAGGAAGGAGCAUUGCGGGGUUGCGGGGCGAGCCCGCUGAGCCCGCAGCUCGGCUGGCCCCGGCAGCCUCGCAUUGCCCUGCGUGCCGCGGGAUCUCCCAUUCCCAAGCCUUACCUGUAUAGAGGAGGAGGCUGUGAUGAGGCAGAAGAUGCCGCGAGACCCUGAGGCAGGCAAGGAGCUGAGGAUGGAGACCCGGGAGAACAAAUCCCCAAGAAAGAACAUUGUGGCAGAGGCAGUUUUGAGUGGCUCCUUGGUGCAGGAAUGCAAUGGAGAGGAAAAGCCCCGGAGAUCCCACAGGAGGAGGGGCGGCAAACCCAGCCAAGGGUGUUCGGAGGAGGAAAGACCCACCUUGAGCCAGGAAGGCAGCCAGAGAUCUGGUCAGGGCUCUGAGGUGGUGGUUGGAAAGGAGCUCC
ensembl:lncRNA